GACGAACGCUGGCGGCGUGCUUAACACAUGCAAGUCGAACGGAAAGGCCCUGCUUUUGUGGGGUGCUCGAGUGGCGAACGGGUGAGUAACACGUGAGUAACCUGCCCUUGACUUUGGGAUAACUUCAGGAACUGGGGCUAAUACCGGAUAGGAGCUCCUGCUGCAUGGUGGGGGUUGGAAAGUUUCGGCGGUUGGGGAUGGACUCGCGGCUUAUCAGCUUGUUGGUGGGGUAGUGGCUUACCAAGGCUUUGACGGGUAGCCGGCCUGAGAGGGUGACCGGCCACAUUGGGACUGAGAUACGGCCCAGACUCCUACGGGAGGCAGCAGUGGGGAAUAUUGCACAAUGGGCGGAAGCCUGAUGCAGCAACGCCGCGUGCGGGAUGACGGCCUUCGGGUUGUAAACCGCUUUCGCCUGUGACGAAGCGUGAGUGACGGUAAUGUGUAAAGAAGCACCGGCUAACUACGUG
rnacentral:rRNA from 1 species